rnacentral:lncRNA from 1 species
UUUUUUUUUUUUUUUUUUUUUUUUUUACUCCAUUUUUCCUCUCUCCUCUCCACCCCACCAAAACCAUCUCUUAAAAUGUACUUACAUGGCUAAGAAAGACUUUUUAUACCGUUGCACUCUGUUGAAUGCCAGGAAUUGGAGGUUUUAGCAGGGGUGGCCCAGAUAGGGGUUAGUGAUGAGUGCCCACUGGCUUUCCCGGAGGGCUUGGGGGCAAAAUAGUUUCUUGUGGGGCUGAUUUCACCCCUCCCUUUAGCAGGACUGGAAGAAGAAUAUGGAGGAGAUUAAAGGAAGCUACACCCUCCAUCCUCUGGCCCUUCUACUUCUUUCUGAGAACUAGGAUGAACAGAUCCAUCUCAUCCUUCAAUGGCUCUGACAAGUCCUGGAAAAUGGCAGUGAGGUAUCUUAAACCGAUAUUAUUGGAGGCCAGGGAGAAAUCAGGGAGACAGUGUCAGGUUGUAUUUAGAUUUGGGUAUUUACCCUCAAGAGUACUGUGUAUUUUUUUAAUUUUUAUUUAUUUAUUUAUUUAUUUAUUUAUUUUGGCUUUUUAGGGCUGCAUCCAUGGCAUAUGGAGUGGUUCAAGAAAAGGCAAAAAGACCAAAAAAAGAAAAAAGAAAAAAUUAUUUUGGGACCCAAAGUAGAUGUUGACAUUUAUAUGAAGGCCACACAGACCCACCAACUGUCUUUCUGUGCAUUGCCGUGCUAUUUAAAGGGCCAACCACCCCUUGACAGUUAACAUGCUUUAUUUACUAAGAGUAAAUAUUUUGGGGGUAGCAGUAUUCUUUCUGGGGUUAAAAAAUAAUUUGGUAGCUGUCAAGAGAGCCAAGCAGAAGGAACAUAGCUUUCCCCCUCCUUUUUAAUCUGCUUUGAUGACAUGGUAACCAAAUAACCAAGCCGUGCCUCUGUCCUCAAAAUACAUUGAAUCAGAGUCUCUAGGGCGGGGCCAGGUCAUUGGCACUUUGGUGAAGCUCCUCUGAUGAUUCUAUUGUGCAGGCAGGGUUGAGAAACCACUUGUCUGAAGUCUCACCAGUUUGAACCGGUAUUAGGGGGAAACUUGGUCAGAAAGGAAACACAGGUAAAUGAGCUAUGAAAUGUUAAUGUGUUACUUUAUAAAUUGCUUCACUGAAUUAAGGGUAUGAGUGUGCAUCCAGGAAAUGAUGGGAUGUUUUCAAGGGUUAUGAGCAGAGAGGUGACAUGAUCUGUUUUAUGUUAUAAGGAGAUCAUUUCUUUGAUGGAGAAUAUACUAAGGCAGGUAAGGAAGGAAAUCAGAGAGACCAGCUAGGUGGCUAUUCUGAUAAGCUAGGAAAGAGAUGACUGGCUUGUCCUUCAGGCAGUGGCACCAGUGGUGAGAAGUGAUCAGAUACUGGAUAGAUAUGAAGAGUAAAGGUAAAAAAUGUUUGCUGAUGGACUGGAUGUUAAAUGUGACGGAGACGAUUCAAGCUGGCUCCAAGCUUUUGCUUGCGCAGCUGGAAGGGUGCAUUUGUCAUCUAUUAAAAUGGCUAAAAUUGGAGGUCAACCCACUUAGGGAGGAAAGUCAAGAAGUCAGUCUUGGGCGUGUUUUAGUUUUAGAUGUUUAUUGGCCAUCCAAGGGGCGGCGUCUGGAGUUUAGAAAGUGUUUCAGGUUAGGGAUAGAAAUUUGAGGACACUUUCUUUCAGGUAGUAUUUAAAAGCCAGCAGAGAGGAUGAGAUCAGACAGGGCAUGUUAUCUAGAUAGAGUAGACAGAGGCCCAACCGUGGACAACUCAGGUACUUGGAGAUUAGGAGCAUGAAGAGGAACCAGCAAAGGAGACUUUGUGGGAGUGGCCAGUAGAGGAGGAAGAGCUCUAAGAAAGUGGUGACCUGGAGACCGAGGGAAGAUGCACCUGGUCUGCAUGAGCUCUGACCACGAGCUUUGGAAGCUUUGCCCAUCUCUGGCGGUUUAACCCCAUGUGAAAUGAAGAUGGUCCCACAAGCUUCCUCCCUUGAUGCAAGAGGAAACCAAGUCCCCACUGCCAAAAAAUGUGACGGAAAAUCAACCUAAUGACCAUUCACCCACUCCCUCUAUGCCUUGCCACAACUAAGGAAACUUAAAUAAUCUCUUCAGGUGCCGUUAAGACACACAUAUCCCCCAGAGGGUAGAGUGAGCCCAGGAGGUCAAGGUCUUUCCUCAAGGUGUGAGAGUCGUUUCUAAUGACAGGUGACCAACCUCUUCCGGCCACAUUUGAAGAGGCGUUUUCUCCCCUCGAGCUCCAGCACAAUUCUGUAUGGUAUAGAAGGAAACAAUGAGAAGUACGUACAAAUGGCAGCGGUGAGGAGCCCAAUAAUGAAGCCUGUCAUAGAUGUUGCCACAGAGGACAGACACAUAGACGUGAUGAGGGAGGAGCUCAGGAAAAGGAAAAACAAAAACAAAAACAAACAGCAACAACAAAAAUGGCUCAGACCUAGAAGAGAAGAACAAAAAAUACCAUCAGAAAAUAAAAACACCCAUUUUCUUUGCUCCAAAUAAAACCUCACACAACCAACAAAAAGCUACUUUUAAAGAUGAUUGUCACAGACUUGGUCAGACAUUGACCCUAAGUCCGCACCAGCACCAAGACUGCGACUCUAGGGUUUCAGAGGAUUUUUAAGGACAGUAGGAGGAAGUCUUCAAUUACGUUUUAUACUGGGAUUACUUUAACUUUUAAAAAAAGUGUAGGUAAAGGAAAUGAAUCGCCAUGAUUAAGGGAGGAGUGAGAGGCAGUGGAUAAAGUUUUUGAGUAAUUUAGAAAUAAAAGCUUUUAAAAACUGCUUCUGAGAAUGCAUUCUGACACUAGAAU